rnacentral:pre_miRNA from 1 species
GGGUUUUCACGGUGACUUCAGUGAGAAUUAAAUCAACUAAGGCACGCGGUGAAUGCCAAU